GGUGGGAGGGCUAUUGGUUUAUCCUUUGUCUACUGGAUUAACCCGAUUAUACACCAGGCACCGGGACAAACCGCCUCCCCCACCUCCGAGCGGCGUACGAGAGGGGCGGAAUGCAGAUUUGGGUUUCAAGUACCUUCUGCUCUGGCCGGGAUUUGCUUUUGAUGGUGUCAAUUGUAGCUUUUCGGUUUAAUAUUAGAUGUUCUAACAGAGGGAGUGAGGUACAGAUGGAAGAUUUGUGAAGAUCUUUCUUACCGUUUUGUUUCACGCAAUUGCUGAUGGAAAUGCUACAGUCUAGGCCUUUAAAAAUUUUAGUUAACUCAAUCCUACACACGUACACGAUAACUAAGGGCCACAUCACGGGCUUCUGAAAUGGGAGGGGGCUCGCUGUUCCACUGCAGAUUUCCUCCUCAACUAGAAGAAUCAUCUUUCAUUUCCGACUCUCCUUGUCACGUAGAACACUCCCCAAUAAGAUUCUGUUGUCCAUUUUGAAGGUGAUCUAUUUUCCCACUUACAAAAAGAAAUGUAAAGAUAGGAAAUGCAUACAUAUGCACUGCUCUAACUGCCGAUCGUUUACAAAGAAACGUGCAGGAACGUGGGAGCACCAAUGGGAAAUUAACACCCCCCCCCAACACACUCUUAAUAUUGGAUUCAGAAUGAUUUACAGAAUGAUUUUACUUUACAGGGAAGUACGGUCAGAACUCCCGAAUAGCACCUGCGACCUCGCGGUCCUGGGGUUAGAGUUCUUGAAACUGCUAGGAAAACGUGGUGCUAGAUUUCCCGGGUCUGGUUCCAGCCCACCUCGGUUCACAACCGCCCUGGCGCUCGCCGCCCUGUCCCGAGCCUUCGUCUGCGGAUGUCCCGGGCGUGUUCCCGGCCACGCUUUCUCCCCUGCCUUCUCCAUGUUUCUCUAGGGCUCCUCGCCCCGGGUUUGGAACCAGAGGUGGCAGGGGAAGUGGCCUGCGUUAUUUCCGGACGCUGGCCUCCUGUCCACCCCCCACCCCUCGGGUGCGGGUGGACCGGGCUAAGUCCGCCUGCUCCUCGGCGUCCCCAGGACAACGGGGCCUCCCCUAGCCCCGGCCGCUCCCCGGACGCCCGGGUCCUCAGGUCCUCCGAGCCUCCGAGCGGACGCAGGCGCCGCUGCGCUCGCGGCCCGUCGGGCCACCAGGGGGCGCCCACUCGCCCGGCGCGGGGCUGGGGUUGCUUUCUUCAACGCGACUCCACGAGAGCAGCCGGGGUUGCCUUCCAAAAUGUACCUUGGUCCGGCCGGUUCACAAAGAAUAAAAAGACGUUUUUCAUCAUUUAGCUUCGAGCAUGUGAUACGUGACUGGAUGGAAUUCCUGGAGAACUGUAUUAACAUGUUCCAAAGAGCUGAAUCCUGAGGUUAGUACCACGUCAGAAAAUUUGAGAAUUUGCACAGUAAUUAUAGUAUGGUUCAUAAAUGGUCUUAUAAUUUGCA
rnacentral:lncRNA from 1 species